GCCAACGGAUUUGUCCGAGGUGGCGGUACCCCCAGGUAGUCUUCUUGGCCCCGCUGUAAAGCCAACCCUGUGUCGCCCUUAAAAAGCGUCUUUUCUGAGGUUCGGCUCACACUGAGAUCGGGGCUGGAGAGAGAGUCAGAUUUUGGAGCGGAGCGUUUGGAAAGCGAGCCCCAGUUUGGUCCCCUCAUUGAGCUCGCUGAAGUUGGCUUCCUAGCGGUGUAGGCUGGAAUAGACUCUUGGCAAGCUCCGGGUUGGUAUACUGGGUUAACUUUGGGAAAUGCAAGUGUUUAUCUCCAGGAUCUAGCCACCGGGGUGGUGUAAGCCGCAAAGAAUUCCACCAGGUGAGAAGAGUGAUGACCAUCCUUUUCCUUACUAUGGUUAUUUCAUACUUUGGUUGCAUGAAGGCUGCCCCCAUGAAAGAAGCAAACAUCCGAGGACAAGG
rnacentral:lncRNA from 1 species